GCAUAUUUCUAUCUCUAUGAUUUUUUUUUUUUUCAUACAAUGGGUCAUCUACAUUAAAGCUUAUACCAAGCACCAAGGCUGAACUCAAAUCCUGCUUUUGAUACAAUUUCCUCUGGACUGUUGGGAAACUUGUUUAAAAUAGUUCUUAAUUAUUCAUAUGCUGUAUUUUGAUAUGUAUAACAUCACUUUCUUGAAAUACUACAUAAGGCUUCUAAUGAUCAGAGACUCAGAAUCUAUAUAUCCUUGUCCUCUGCCCCCAUUUCUCCAUAUUAUAGCAGAAUGUGAUACAUUCUCAAUAAAUAUUUAUCAUACUGAAUUUAAUAAAUAAGCAGAUAUUAUGUUCUUUUUUUGUUGUUUAAAGAUCAGAAAUAUAAAGCUUGGGGAGGUUUAGUGGCAUGUCCAAGUCACACCAAAUUGUUAAUUUGCCUAUGGCUUAUACACUUGGCUGUAGGCACUCUCUGGGACCCAUAUAUGUGAGUAACAUUAGGAGACCAACCCUAAUGCUGCUGCUUUUAGCCCUGUGCCAUUUCUUUCUUUCUGUAAAUGGGCAGAGUUAAUAAAUACUACUUUAUUAAACUAGAUGAUGCAUUACUGCCAGAAGAAAGAGAAGUUUUUCUGGGGCCAUUUAAUUUAUUUGAAGAGAACCUUUGCUUUUCCCCUAGCAGUAUGUGCUUGGCUACUGUGAUUAUCAUAAUUUAAGGAAAAGGUAAAAGGAUGUUUGACUGAUCAAGUGGCAAGUUUACUAUUAAUUUCACAGUCAUCUAACCCUCAAUAUCAGAGUUAUGAGCUUCUCUGGCAUUCUACCGGAUGAGAUCCUUGUGUACAUGGGUUCUAUGCUUCAGUUUCUCCAUCUCUGCUUCCCCAGGCUCCAUCCCCCAAAGCUUUUCAUCUGCAAGGAAUGUGUUAAUAUCUCUUGCCUACUAAUGGGUUUAAGUGUUCAUUAUCAUUUUAAUGUGGUCCUAUGUGGGAAAUGAGAUAAAGGUGGUUUGAUCAUUCUGUCAUUCUAACCAUCUUUGGAUUGGUGACAUUGAACCAAAGUAGUUUGAAAACCACUGUGAUCAACCUUUGCUCAAACCAUUCACCCUCUACUUAGUGCCUUCCCCCAGUUUAUUCAAGCAAUAUUCAUUUUCUUUAAAAUCAAUGCCUUUCAAAAUGUAGAACUCAGUUGUCCCUAUGGAGACCUAAUGUCUCUAUUCCUCCAAAUCCCACAGCAUGUUUUCUCCUCUAUUACAGAAUUUACAAUCGCUGGUCUUAUUACUGGAAUCAUUUAUAUAUCUGACUCCCCAGUUAGACUGCAAGUUCCAGGACACAAGAGUCCAUGCCUUUUUAAUCUUGAUAUUUCCGAUAGGGUUUUUUCCAUAGGAGAUAAUAAAUGUUUACUCAAUUGAAUUAAAUGACUUUAUUCUACUUGUUUUUCAUUUAUUUAUAUCUAAUAAGUGAUUUAAUUCAUUUAUUUUUAUAAUUAAAAACACUAAUCUUUCUUAGGAGUUCUUGGUUUUCUAAAUUUAAUGUUCUAUGUGUAAACUGCUAUUUCAGUUGAAGUACCCAAUUAGCUUAACAACUAAAUUUUAUUUAUUAUCGUGAGUAUGGGUAUAUUUUUUAAGUUUACAAUAAGCAGCUGUUCCUUUGUUAUCAGAAAAACACAAAAUUAUUUAUAAAAUAUAGUCAUGAAGCUCUCCUGUAAUAUCCCCAUUUAAAAGUGUAUGGUGAGACACAACCUUAGAAUACAUUUUGCUGAAUAAACAUUCAAGGAAGUCCAGUUGAAACGGAAAGAGCCCUUGUUAUCCUUUACCACACUGCAGUGUCUUAAGUAGAGUUCUCUACUGCUAGUAGGUAAGGAGUUGGAGUGCUUGGAAGCUACCUCAUAAAUAAUCAUUCUCCCCUUGAUGAAUCCUCCUUAGUCUGGUGCAGUUCAAUAAUUCUUGUCAUGUGUCCUAUUUGCCAGCUUCUCAUCUCCCUCAAGCCACCUCGGUCACUGACAUUCAUGCCUCUAAUGGUACAGCAUAAACAGAAGAGGAUACUACAUGCCUGGGUCACGGUUUUAACCCAAACCUCAAAUAAACCAACAAAAUAUGACAAAAGAUGUGCAUACGUAACACUGCAGUGUCUUCUUAUUUUAAACAUAUUAUUGUAUUUUUAGCAAUCAGUAUUAUUGUGGCUGAGAUAAGUCUACUAGAAUGAAAGAAAUUAACAGGUUUCAAAAGGUUGUUACAGUUUAGGCAGACUUGAGGUAACACCAGAUAAAUUUGGAAACAUAGGUUCCAUUUGUGGUUCAGACUAGCUUUAUAUUCUUAGACUGUCACUUCUCUUUGAGUUGCCCUUGCCUAUCUGAACAAAUAGGGGUUGGGGACCAUGAAUGCUAAAUCACCUCUCUUUCCAAGCCAAGUUCCCCCUGGAUAUUAGAAAUUCAGGGCUCACAAAUUUGAGCUUGUGGAAUCCAGUGUUUUCAGCGUCAUCGAAGUUUCAUAAACUAAAGUUUUCAUUCCUCUUAAAAACAGACUGACUGCGUACUGUAUAUCAAGGGCCAAAAUGAGUUACGAACAGAGAGUUUGACUCAGUGGUGCUUCAUCUAGAUGAAUUAUAAGUCUGAAAGAACCUAAUUGUAGCAAAUCAAUCAAGAAGCAUAUUCACCAUCUACGCAUGCCUUUUUGAAACUGAGAUUCUCUAGUGCACUUGGAAGACAUGACCAUUGUUCAUGUGGGAAACUAACAUAUUUGUUCUUGGAAUAAGUAUAUGCAUUUUUGGAUAUAGGCCAAGUUUAAUUAUUCCUCCUAGAAAACUCCCCUUUCACCACAAAUGACAAAUUCUUCCUUAAAACAAAUCACUGUAUUCACACACCUGUUUAUUGUAAAUUAUCUCAGUACUGUCCCCAGUCCAUCAUUUACUUUUAGUUCAAAAAUGGAAUAUUUUUUAUUCAGGGAAAAUAAAUACUUAGAAGUAAAGACAGGAUAUAUAUUUCUCUUCUCACCAUGAAUUAAGCAGGGCUAUCUUCCAGGUAUUUCUCAUUUACUUUAGGAGACAACUUUAAAAUCUAUACAAAGUGAAUUGCUACUUAUUGUUAAAUCAUAACACACAAACAAGGAUAAAGGAAAAAGUGGGUUGUGACAAUUCCAGGAAACUAAAGAACACUUCAUAGUACAGAUUGACACAAUGUAUCUUUGAAGAAAACUGUGACACAACAACUUAUACAAUGUCACACAAGUUAUCUAUUAAAAUCCUACCUUGUAAAUGAAUGCCAGGCUAAAUUUAACACUUGGACUAUUUGUAUGCAGAGGCACUCAAUCUUCUACUUUCUAGGAUUACAAUUGAUUUCUGUUUAUUAUUGCAUGGAAGUAUCAAUCAGGACUAGCCAAACCAAUUUCUAAAAUGCAACUAAAAGUAGCCAUAAUUAAACUGAUUAGAAUACACAUUUCUAUGAUCUUUUAUAUAGAAAAUGGAAAUUAUGUACUGCAUAUACUUUCCCUGUAUUCAAUAUCCACUUAUCUUAUUUCACAAACACAGUGAAAUGUGGACAUUGUUUUUGUCACUGUAUAUGUAUAUGUCUGUGGUUACACGCUUGCACUUAUAUGCAGCACAGAGAUUUCAGGACUAUAAACUGUCAGAGUCAUGAGACCCUAGUUUUAGUCUUGGCAUUUAUAUACACUGUAUUUCCUAAAGAAGGACCAUAAAAUGUUUCUUUUACAAUUUGACUUUGACACAAUUCAAUCAAAAGGCAGAGUCUAAUUUCCUUCUUUUUCAAACUGGGUAGGUCCAUAAGAUAUGGUAGAGCCAAUGAGGCCAGAACAGAAAAAAAAUACAAUUUAAAAAAAUAGGUAAUAACUAGGUGGGGAGCUGGAAGCUAAUAUUUCCAGUGUCCCCACUGCAGCUUCCAGAAUUGUUAGAAGGCAAGAGAAGAGCUACCAAGCACAGCGGCCAUGUCAUGCUGAACCCUGUGAAGCCUCUCAUGGCUCCCGAUGACUCACUGCUCUGGCACAAACUGUAUCCCGGGUCUCCAGGCUCCCGCACACCCACCCUCUGACUUCCUGCCCACUCUUCUGCCUCUAGAUGAAAUUGGGGAGAUAUUCUGUCCACAACACUCAAAUCUUGCCUGCAUCCCUCAACUCCUCAAUCCCACUCUACACCCUUGUAAUUGCUAACAAUAUAGCAGAAUGGAUGCUCUGUGACUUCCAAGGCUAGGUCAGAAAAGGUCAGACAUCUUCUGCCUGGUUUUCUUUGAACUAUCUCUCUAGGGGAAGCCAAGCACGAUAUAGGAAGUGUGAUUUUUCUUGAGACUAACAUGCUGGAGGGGCUACAUGCAGACACUUAGGUCAAAAGUCCCAUUUGGUCCCAGGCUUCUAUCAGUCAUCCCUUCUAAAAUGUAAGGCAUGUGAGUAAAGCAGUCCUGGAUCCCAUAGACCAUGGCUUCCACCGGUUGAGUACCACUAAUUGAUUUCAGUCAAUGCCAUGAAGAGAAGAAGAAUCAUCUAGCUGAGAACUACCUUAACUAUAGACUAUGUAAAAUGUAGUAAAACAGUGGUGGUUUUAAGCCACCCAAUUUUAAGGUAGUUUGCUUUAUGACAAUAGUAACAGAUAGAUGUGCAACUUAAUAGCUAUGUAACUGUUGAAAAGUUACCCACUUUCUCUGAACUUUAUUCUUCUCAUUUUAAAAUGACAAUACUAAUAUAGGUCCUACCGAUCCAACAAGAGGUCACAGAGGAGAACAGCUGUGGAAGUCCAUUAUCUAUUAUCCAUCAAUCUUAUUUAAAAGUCAGUAUGGUGUUUCUAAAAUUCAAAACACUAUAAGCCUCUACAUUAUAUGGAGAUGGUCAGGUGGUUUUAAGGUAUGCACUGGGUUGUAUGAGAUACAACCUCAGUUCUAAUUGGAGGCUACAUUUUGCAACUCUCCUUCUUCUGAACAAAUAUAUUAUCUCCAUAGCUCAAGUGCUUCUGGUUUCUCUGAGUCACAUGGAAUGAGCACUGAAAUCUCCUUUAUUUGUUUCCAACAAAGUAUAAUUAGUGAUGUCAUUUUAGCACCUAUUUUCCCCAAGACCACAGGUCUGUCUCUUUCAUUCUCUCAGCAAAUGGACUAACAAGUCAGUGUUAUUUCUUUACCCCUCCUUCAACCCAAUACUUUUUGGGUCAUGAAACUGAAGUUGCAAACAAGGGCUGUGUAGUGCUACCAUGUUUAAUUCUCAGAGCUAAUUGGUGGCCUAAUAUAGCCUGGGCCGUACUGCCUCUAGGUUUCAAUCUUCCAGAGUUUCAGUAACUUCAUUUUGGAUAUUUUCUUAAGCCUUCUUUCCACAGUGACUCUAAGGGACAUAUUAGAUGUGUUAUCAAAGUGACUUUCCAAACCAGCCCAGACAGGUUACUGGGUUCUUCUGCCUGAGUUCUAGUGUACAAAUGUUAAAAUUCACUUUUCCGUGUCAAGAAAAACUGAACCCAUACUAUGCCACAUCCGCUCACCUGUUCUUUCUCUUGCAAAAGACACAGACAUAAAGAAAUUCACACCAUCCCAUGUCUUUUAUCUCUCUGAUAGUCAAAGAGACAGCAGUGUGGUAGCCACAAACUGACCCUUUGAUCACUCUGAUAAGGAAGCAAAUUCUAGGCUGUGAGACUUAUUUGCAUAUACAUCUCUGAGGUCAGUUGGUUUGGAAGGCAAGUUCCUCUAUGUAUACUCUUCAUCAAGAAAACAUGACUGCUACAGUAAUUCAAACAGUAUGGUACUGGCAAAAAAAAACAGAGCUAUAGAUUGGUAGAACAGCAGAGAAAGCCUAGAAGUAGGCCCACAUACCUAUGGUCAACUAAUCUACGACAAAGGAGGCAAGAAUAUACAAAGGAGAAAAGAUAGUCUAACAAGUGGUGCUGAGAAAACUGGGCAGCCACAUGUAAAAUAACGAAAUUAGAACAUUACCUAACAUCAUAUAAAAAAAUAAACUCAGAAUGGAUUAAGGACCUCAAUAUAAGACUGGAUAAUAUAAAACUCUUAGAGGAAAACAUAGCCAGAACAAUCUUUGACAUAAACCCCAGCAAUAUCUUUUCAGAUUCACCUUUAGAGUAAUGAAAAUAAAAACAAAACUAAACAACUGGAACCUAAUUAACUUAAAAGUUUUUACAUAGCAAAGAAAACCAUAAGCAACAAGUUCCUGCUGUGGUAAAAUAGGAUCAGUGGCAUUUCUGCAGCACCAGGAUGCAGGUUCACUUCCCGGCUCCAUACAGGGGGGUUAAAGGAUCCAGCAUUGCUGCAUUUGCAGUGUAGGUCACAACUGUGGUUUGUAUCUGAUCCCGGGCUGCGGAACUCCAUAUGCUGCAGGUCGGCCAAAAAAAGAAAAAGAAAAAUAAACAAAAUGAAAAAGACAACCCACAGAAUGGGAGAAAAUAUUUACAAACAGAGACCAACAAGGGAUAAAUCUCCAAAAUAAACAAAUGACUCAUGCAGCUUAGUAUCAAAAACAACCAACUGACCCAAUCAGAAAAUGGGCAAAAGAUCUAAAUAUACAUUUCUCCAAAGA
rnacentral:lncRNA from 1 species